rnacentral:rRNA from 1 species
GACGUAGGGGGCCAGCGUUGUUCGGAAUUACUGGGUGUAAAGGGUUCGUAGGCGGUGCGGCAAGUUGGGAGUGAAAUCUCUGGGCUUAACCCAGAGGCUGCUUCCAAAACUGCUGUGCUUGAGUGUGGGAGAGGCGCGUGGAAUUGCAGGUGUAGCGGUGAAAUGCGUAGAUAUCUGCAGGAACACCCGUGGCGAAAGCGGCGCGCUGGACCACUACUGACGCUGAGGAACGAAAGCGUGGGGAGCGAGCAGG